ACCUUCCUGGGAAGAGGCUGUAGUGUGUAAAGCUAAUAUACUAUUGUGAUUUCUGGCACUUUUUGUUUGAAACAAGGUCUUACAUAACCCAGGCUGCCUUCAAAGUUAUUAGCUGAGGCUACCCUUGAACGCCUCCUGAUCCUCCUGCUUCUUGCUCCAGUGUGCCUUUUUCUGGUAUCUUAGAAAUAAAAGCAUGGAAGUUUUUUCAGAUUAGAAGUUCUCUAUGGGGACGCCCCAGCCCAGCCGCCCUGGAUCACCAACUGGACCCCCAGAAGUGAUUACUGAAGAUACUCAGCCCCCACAAUUGGGUCAGGAGAGAGAUCCAGGGGGGACACCUGCAGGCGGUACUGAUGAACCCCCAAAGCUGACCAAGGAGGAGCCUGUUCCAGAAUUGCUAGAAGCUGAGGCCCCCGAAGCUUACCCUGUCUUUGAGCCAGUGCCAUCUGUCCCUGAGGCAGCCCAGGGUGACACAGAGGACUCGGAGGGCGCCCCCCCACUCAAGCGCAUCUGUCCAAAUGCCCCUGACCCCUGAGAAGCCGCCUGCCUCCUGUCCUGUUGCUCCAGGGGCCCCUUUGGCUUUUUAUAAAUAAAGACCCUUUUGUAA
rnacentral:lncRNA from 1 species